UUUCAGCUUCUAAGAUUCAAAUACAACAAUCUGUCUUUGUCCUCUCCCUCGACCAUGCCAAAGUCCAUAAUCAGCGGUGGUGGAGUGGCCAAAUCCAUAAUCGGACCUACCAAAACACUCUCACGCUUAUGCUUAUCUCGAAUCAAAAUGAAAAGUCCAAGAACCCUAGAGCUAGGGGCUGCAAUUAAAUGGUAGAUAUGUGGAAUCAGAGCCAUGGAUGUUAGGGCUUUGAUCCACCUCACCACGCUCCACAACAUGGUAAUUCAAAAGAAGAAAAACGAUGAAGAUUGCUUAAGGACUCACUGGAGCGCCGCACCGGAACUUUAGAUAAUCUUCUCUGCACUGUUGCUCGAAUCUCCUCAAUCUUAUCCUUCUUCUUUCUUCUUAUGAGUAUCCUCUUCUUCUUCUUUCUACGUAUUUUGAGAGAUGAACUGUUUGAGAGAGGAGUAUGAAUGUGUGAGGGAAAUAGAGAGAGAACUCUGAGUUCAAAUGAGAGUGAUGAAUCUAUGUGGAUUUUUUUUGUAUCUCUGCGUGUUUGUGUGAACCUCUGAGAUGAAUGAUGAACACUGAAUUUAUAGGGAGUGAUUAUGAAACCAAUUCAUGCAGGUUUUUAAUUGUGUUCAGUUCGGGUAGUUUGUUGGAGUUUGUUAGAAAUGACAAUUAAGUUUGGAUUGAAUUUGGGGGUUAAUUUGGAAUCGAAUUUGAAGCUAAUUUGAGAAUGAAUUUGAGUUCGGAUUUUGAUUGAAGUCAGAGUCAAAUUUUAGAUAGGCUAGAUUGUUAAUUUGGCUUGCACUUCCAAUUCACAUGUUCUCUGAAUUUACUACUGCAUUUUUGGACAUGAUUCAAAUUUGUCCUGCCCCUUCACCAUUCUGCAGAUUUGCGUAGCUCAGUGUAUUAGUGGAUUGUUAAGUAUUUACUAACUGAAACCGCAGGUUAUGCUAAUGGUGGUUAACUGUUACAUAUGACUAGGUUAAUUGAUGAUGUGCUUGAUCAAAAAAUAUUAUUAUGAAGGGUGAAACCAGACUGCUAUGCAAUGCCAAAUGAUGAAUGGUUACUCAUGCUAUAUGAUCUCUGAUGGAUGCCAAAGUGGAUUACUCAUGUUGCCAUGCUUUCCAUAUGGUGUGUGUUAGGAUUGAAUAUUGUGGUUAACAUGCUGAAGUUGCAAAGUCAGGCCAAUGGAUUCAAUUUAUGUCAAGAAUAUGGAACUGCAUAUGCUUUUUUAAUUGCAACAGAUUGGAUGAGUCUUGGCCAUGAAUUGGUAGCUUAGGAGUUAGGACAAGGUCAUAUGCUAGUUUGUUUUUUAUUUUCUCAUUUGUAGAGUGUGAUGUAUUAAUAUGGAUUAUGUACAAGAGUUUUGAAAUGAAUAAAAGUUCAAUUUCUGAAUGCA